rnacentral:rRNA from 1 species
ACCCUUGUCCUUAUUUGCUUCCUCGUAUGAGGUGCUCUAUAAGGAGACUGCCGGCGACAAGCCGGAGGAAGGAGGGGACGACGUCAGGUCAGUAUGCCCUUUAUGCCCUGGGCUACACAGGCGCUACAGUGGCAAGGACAAUGAGUAGCGAGAGUGCAAGCUCAAGCUAAUCUCACAAACCUUGUCGUGGUGCGAAUUGAAGGUUGAAACUCACCUUCAUGAAGCCGGAAUCGGUAGUAAUGGCGUAUCAGCUAUGUCGCCGUGAAUACGUUCCCGGGCCUUGUACACACCGCCCGU